GACGAACGCUGGCGGCGUGCUUAACACAUGCAAGUCGAACGGAAAGGCCCUGCUUUUGUGGGGUGCUCGAGUGGCGAACGGGUGAGUAACACGUGAGUAACCUGCCCUUGACUUUGGGAUAACUUCAGGAAACUGGGGCUAAUACCGGAUAGGAGCUCCUGCUGCAUGGUGGGGGUUGGAAAGUUUCGGCGGUUGGGGAUGGACUCGCGGCUUAUCAGCUUGUUGGUGGGGUAGUGGCUUACCAAGGCUUUGACGGGUAGCCGGCCUGAGAGGGUGACCGGCCACAUUGGGACUGAGAUACGGACCAGAAUCCUACGGGAGGCAGCAGUGGGGAAUAUUGCACAAUGGGCGGAAGCAUGAUGCAGCAACGCCGCGUGCGGGAUGACGGCCUUCGGGUUGUAAACCGCUUUCGCCUGUGACGAAGCGUGAGUGACGGUAAUGGGUAAAGAAGCACCGGCUAACUACGUG
rnacentral:rRNA from 1 species